AUUCAAAAGAUUUUAAUCACUCAGGUGAUUCAGGAAUCCAAGACACACCUGUCAUAUGAUUUUCAGCAACUCUCAACAUCCAGACUUCAGAAGGUUAAACGGCUUGGAAAGAAAAAAAAAACUGUGAAGACGACAAGGAGCUGAGUACUGAUGCGAUUAUGAGAAAUCCUCCAUCAAAUAAAGACGGAGGUAAACCAGCAAAAACAUGGACACAAACUUCUCUAAACAUAACAAUAACGGCACUGACAGUUGCAGUAGUUGCAGUAUUAAUAGAUAUUGCAGGAACAACAGGAGUAGUUAACACAGUUGCAGGAGCAGCAGCAGGAGCUGCAGCAGGAGGGGCUAUAUACAUUUUAAGAUCAUUACGGAAAUCAGAAGUGAGGCGAGAAGCAGAAAUGGUCGGAGCAGCAAGUUCAGCCAUAGCAGGAGGUAUAGCAGGAACAGCCGCCGCAAUCCUGCUAUCAUUAAUAGGAUGGUCACAGAGAGGAUCAUCAGUAGUUGGAGCAAUAGCAGGAGCAGCAAUAGUGGCAGUUACAAGAACAUAUUUACAGCAUGCUACGAACACAAUACUACAGGCUAUAUACAAAGUGAUGAAUGUGGUAGCUCUAUUGAAACAAUUAAUAUCAGUAAAAAACCAAGCAUUACUUCCAGCAACAAUGGCCAAAGCAGGAGUUGCAGCAUUAGGCAGUUUAAAAGCAACAACAGGAACAGCUGCAACAAGUGUGUUAGCAAAAGGACUUAGAUUAGCAACAAGAGGAGGAGGAGGAGCGGGAGAAGCAGGCUUAGGAGCAAGAGGACUGGAAAAUGAGCAGGAGCAGGAGGAACAGGAGCAGGAGAAACAGGAGCAACAAGUGCAAACAGAACAGGGGCAACUUGAGCAGGAGGAACAAGAGCAGGAGGAGCAGGAGCAACAGGAGCAGGAGGAACAGGAGCAGGAGCAACAGGAGCAGGAGGAACAGGAGCAACAGGAGCAGAAGAAACAGGAGCAAGAGGAGCAGGAGCAACAGGAGCAGGAACAGGAGGAGCAGGAGGAACAGGAGCAACAGGAGCAGAAGGAACAGGAGCAAGAGGAGCAGGAACAACAGGAGCAGGAGGAGCAGGAACAGGAGGACCAGGAUCAGGAGCAGGAGCAGAAGGAGCAGGAACAGGAGCAGGAGGAACAUGAGCAACAGGAGCAAAAGGAACAGGAGCAGGAGCAACAAGACCAGGAGGAAACGGAACAGGAGGAGCAGGAGCAACAAGUGCAAACAGAACAGGAGCAACUUGAGCAGAAGGAACAUGAGCAGGAGGAGCAGGAGGAACAGGAGCAGGUGGAGGAGCAGGGGGAGGAGGAGCAGGAGGAGCAGGAACAGGAGGAGCAGGAGGAACAUGAGCAGGAGGAGCAGGAGGAACAGGAGCAGGUGGAGGAGCAGGAACAGGAGCAGGAGGAGCAGGAGGAACAGGAGGAGGAGCAGAAGGAGCAGGAGGAACAUGAGCAGGAGGAGCAGGAGGAACAGGAGCAGGUGGAGGAGCAGGAGGAACAGGAGCAGGAGGAACAUGAGCAGGAGGAGCAAGAGGAACAGGAGCAGGAGGAGGAGCAGGAACAGGAGGAACAGGAGCAGGAGGAACAGGAGGAGGAGCAGGAACAGGAGGAGCAGGACGAACAUGAGCAGGAGGAGCAGGAGGAACAGGAGCAGGAGGAGGAGCAGGAGGAGCAGGAACAGGAGGAGAAGGAGGAACAUGAGCAGGAGGAACAGGAGCAGGAGGAGCAGGAACAGGAGGAACAAGACCAGGAGGAAAUGGAACAGGAGGAGCAGAAGCAACAGGAGAAAGAGGAACUGGAGCAACAGGAGAAGGAACAGGAGCAGGAGGAACAUAAGCAGGAGGAGCAGGAGGAACAGAGCAACAGGAGGAUCACAGAAGGAUCAAGAGCAACAGGAUCAAAAGGAACAGGAGCAGGAGCAACAAGAGAAAGAGGAACAGGAGCAACAGGAGUAGGAGGAACUGGUCUGUCUAUAAGCUGACAUACGAGUGAUCUGCUGAUGAAUCGACUGAUCUUCACGGCUUUAAAAUGCUCCAGUGUCCCUGUAUGUGUUUGACCUACGAUGAAGAGCUCAUUGCUCAAUUCACCUGUGAUUCUCUAAUUUGAUCCACACUGGCCAUAAUACUCCAAGGGUCAACAAAAGUAUCCUCAAAAUUUACAAUUUAAUUAAAAAUAAAUCAAAUAUAAAAUUUCAUUUGUCAAGUAUAAUUCUAUUACGCCAAUUGCAGAAUAAAAAAAACAAUAAGCCUGUUCAGAGAUGAUUCAUAUACAAUAUCAAUUGCUCAAAGAUAAAUAAAGAGUUAGAGAUGCAUACUAUGAGCGAACAAUACCAACAGAAACAUGUUGUUUGGAUCAUUAACAUAUUUUAAACAGCUCCUUUUAUAGAAAGUUGAAUGUCAAAGAAAAUUUAUGAAAUGUGUUAUAAAAUGUAAGGAUAAUUAUCGAUUACUUUUACACAGACUUUUACAAAGUCCUGUACCUUAUUAGUCUUUGCUGAUCCUUCCUUUAAUAGCAAACGGCCAGUGAAUCCCACGUUGAACUGCAUGGUAUUGUAUUAAUCAUCAGAAAACACAGCACAAGGUUGGCUAUACUGUGGUAUUGUUUUGAAAAUACACUUCAACCGUUUAUUCCCCACAACCGCAUCUCUCAGUGAUGGCAAAAUCAUCUUUUCCAAUGGCAAAAGGUUUGAACUCAAGGCAAUUUAUAUAAACAACACUGUGUCGACUAUUUUUUUUUUGAGGAAUCAAUUAAACAUGGUUCACUUUCAGAUUUAAAGCUCAGCUAGAUGUUUUAAUUUACUUGUGUUACACUCGAUGUGGAAGGUCAUUUUUAAAAACCCAUCAAAUGGGCUCUUUAAAUCAGCUUGCCAGAAAUUAAAGUUUGUUAAUUGAAACACUGGAGAACUUUUAUGCCGAGUUCAGACUGCAUGAUUUUCAGAGUAGUCGUGUCACAGAUGUUUUCACACUGCAUGACUAUCUGGGCUAGCGUUUCGUCGCUGCUUUGUUUACACUGCAAGAUGGAUCGCCGACAGGGACUUUCACAUUGCAUGACUUUACUAUAGGAAGAAUCGCCGACAACUUCGUCCAAACUAUGUCUCACAGCCAAAAACACGUCGUAUAGCUUUUUUUAUUAACUACAUAAUGAGAAAGAAGCCUUUAAUGGGGUUGAACAUGUACAUGUUUGCUCACCUGGUUUUAAAGGGAAUUAGCCAUUUCUCCUCAACGUUGAUAAUAAACUAAUUUCUUUCUGUAUGAAACGUCAAACAGACACGGUUGCUCCUGAGUCCUGUCAAACCUCCACUAGAUUUUCCUCCAUUUCGUGGGUCCAAAUAAAUCAAAAAAAGAGCGCUUUUAACAUCUUCCCCAGCCUCCCGCUGGCCUGCAGCAGGUACACACACACGCACACACAAGUGAAUGCCGCUCUCUCAUUGGCUGUAGGCGAUCGCUGAUGGUAUUUUCAGUCAAAGCUCAUUUCACACGGCAUGAUUUGAAUCGCCGACAGCUCCAGAUACUCAGCACGCCAAAUAUCUCACAGGCAUCGGCGACUCAUCGGCGAUUCUCUCAGAUCGCGUCUUUGAUCGUUCAUACUGUGUGAUUGUCACUCACGUGCACGAGCAGCGAUUUGCCUGUGAUUUCAGGCAUUUGUCGGCGAUUUCUCAAAACCUGUCGGCGAGCCAAAAUCGGGGCUAAAAUCACGCAGUCUGAACUAGGCAUUAAUUACAGUUUUAGUUUGUCUUAUCUUAUUGAACCAGACAGAUGUUAGUUGACACACUGGUGAUAAUUGUUCUUGUUUAUAUAUAUAUAUAUAUAUAUAUAUAUAUAUAUAUAUAUAUAUAUAUAUAUAUAUAUAUAUAUAUAUAUAAUUCAGAAUUAUUAGCCCCCCUGUUUAUUUUUUUCCCCAAUUUCUAGUUUAACGUAGAGAAGAUUUUUUCUAAACAUAAUAGUUUCAAUAACUAAUCUCUAAUAACUGAUUUAUUUUAUCUUUGUCAUUCAUUCAUUUUCUUGUCGGCUUAGUCCCUUUAUUAAUCCGUGGUCGCCACAGCGGAAAGAACCGCCAACUUAUCCAGCAAGUUUUUACGCAGCGGAUGCCCUUCCAACCGCAACCCAUCUCUGGGAAACAUCCACACUUAAACACUCAUACACUAUGGACAAUUUAGCCUACCCAAUUCACCUGUACCACAUGUCUUUGGACUGUGGGGGAAACCGAAGCACCCGGAGGAAACCCACGCAAAGGCAGGGAGAACAUGCAAACUCCACACAGAAGCCUUAUCUUUGUCAUGAUGACUGUAAAUAAUAUUUGACUAGAUAUUUUUCAAGACACUUCUAUACAGCUUAAAGUGACAUUUAAAGGCUGACCUAGAUUAAUUAGGUUAACUAGGCAGGUUAGGGUAAUUAGUCAAGUUAUUGUAUAAUAAUGGUUUAUUCUGUAGACUAUCGAAAAAAAUAUAUCGCUUUAAGGGGCUAAUAAUUUUGACCUUAAAAUGGGUUGAAAAAAAAAUUAAAAACUGCUUUUAUAGUAGCCAAAAUAAAACAAAUAAGAAAAACACAUGAUCAGACAUACUGUGAAAAUAUCCUUGCUCUGUUAAACAUCAUUUGGGAAAAUUUUAUUAAUUAUUAUAUUAUCUGACUUCAACUGUAUAUAUAUAUA
rnacentral:lncRNA from 1 species